rnacentral:rRNA from 1 species
GACGAACGCUGGCGGCGUGCCUAAUACAUGCAAGUCGAGCGGUUGAAGCCUUCGGGCAGAGAUAGCGGCGGACGGGUGAGUAACACGUAGGUAACCUGCCUAUUAGACUGGGAUAACUACCGGAAACGGUAGCUAAGACCGGAUACGACCAUUUGGGGGCAUCCUUAGAUGGUGAAAAGCGGAGUAAUCUGCUACUGAUA